rnacentral:rRNA from 1 species
UACGAAGGGUGCAAGCGUUAAUCGGAAUUACUGGGCGUAAAGGGUGCGUAGGCGGUUCGUUAAGUCUGAUGUGAAAGCCCUGGGCUCAACCUGGGAAUGGCAUUGGAUACUGGCAGUCUAGAGUGCGGUAGAGGGUAGCGGAAUUCCCGGUGUAGCAGUGAAAUGCGUAGAUAUCGGGAGGAACAUCCGUGGCGAAGGCGGCUACCUGGACCAGCACUGACACUGAGGCACGAAAGCGUGGGGAGCAAACAGG